rnacentral:lncRNA from 1 species
AAAACAGCUACGAAAAUGCAAGUAUUAUGUUCUCCGGCUCAAAGUCGUUUAGGUUCUCCGGCCCAAAGUCGUGAAUAUGUACCCUGCAUGCAAGUAUAUGACCAAAUCCAAAUAGGCUUAAACAAUAAGUGUAGGCUACUCAUUAGUUUGGGCUACUGACUUCCAGACGAAGGGCCUGCAACAUUGACUGCAUCUGUUUAUAUUUUCAGGUUGUUCCAUAUCCUUCACAUCGCCGUUGUCUGUGUCGUUGAAACACGCAAUUUGGUUGGUCAAUACCAGUACAGAAUCAAACAAUCCGGCAGGCACAUUUAAAUGCCUUCGCGCAAGCUUUUUUAAAUGUCAGCCAAUGAAAACCUUUCAACAUG